GUUUGGGAUUGCAGCUCAAAGAUGGUGGUAAAUUCCAUCGAAAGCUAAAUACACGUGGGAGACCGAUAGCAAACAAGUACCGUGAGGGAAAGAUGCAAAGAACUUUGAAAAGAGAGUUAAAGAGUACCUGAAAUUGCUGAAAGGGAAGCAAAGGAAACCAGUGUUGUUCUCGCUUGUAUUUCCUCUG
rnacentral:rRNA from 1 species